ACGCGAAAGCUCCCUUCGGGGAGCAAGUAGAGUGGCGCACGGGUGAGUAACACGUAGGUAAUCUACCUUUGGAUGGGGAAUAACAACCGGAAACGGUUGCUAAUACCGCAUAAUGCAGCGGCACCUAAUGGUGACAGUUGUUAAAGCGGGGGAUCGAAAGACCUCGCGUCUAAAGAGGAGCCUGCGGCAGAUUAGCUAGUUGGUAAGGUAACGGCUUACCAAGGCGAUGAUCUGUAGCCGGCCUGAGAGGGCGGUCGGCCACACUGACACUGACAUACGGGUCAGACUCCUACGGGAGGCAGCAGUCGGGAAUUUUGGGCAAUGGGCGAAAGCCUGACCCAGCAACGCCGCGUGAAGGAUGAAAUCCCUCGGGAUGUAAACUUCGCAAGAACGGGAAGAAUAAGUGAGGGUUAAUAUCCCUUACGAUGACGGUACUGUUUGUAAGCUCCGGCUAACUCCGUGCCAGCAGCCGCGGUAAUACGGGGGGAGCAAGCGUUG
rnacentral:rRNA from 1 species